rnacentral:rRNA from 1 species
UACGAAGGGGGCUAGCGUUGCUCGGAAUCACUGGGCGUAAAGCGCACGUAGGCGGCUUUCUAAGUCAGGGGUGAAAUCCUGGAGCUCAACUCCAGAACUGCCUUUGAUACUGGGAAGCUCGAGUCCGGAAGAGGUGAGUGGAACUCCGAGUGUAGAGGUGAAAUUCGUAGAUAUUCGGAAGAACACCAGUGGCGAAGGCGACUUACUGGACACAUAUUGACGCUGAGGUGCGAAAGCGUGGGGAGCAAACAGG